GGCAGCUGUCUAUGUUCAUGAAACCUUUGACCCGAUUGAACAUGGACUCGACCCUCUUAUGGAUCCACGGGAGAGUACAGAUGAUCUAUUUGGCACCUAUGAGGAAGCACUGUGUGGAGAAAAUUCCUUCCCUUUAUGCAAAUGAAACUUUCUCCAGUGCAAACUGCAUAUGGAAAUUAAAGUAAUUUGAACUAUU